rnacentral:rRNA from 1 species
UGGAUGAUGUGGUUAAUUCGAUGCAACGCGAAAACCUUACCACCUUUGACAUGUACGGAACCCUUUAGAGAUAGAGGGGUGCUCGGAAGAGAGCCGUAACACAGGUGCUGCAUGGCUGUCGUCAGCUCGUGUCGUGAGAUGUUGGGUUAAGUCCCGCAACGAGCGCAACCCUUGUCAUUAGUUGCUACAUUCAGUUGGGCACUCUAAUGAGACUGCCGGUGACAAGCCGGAGGAAGGUGGGGAUGACGUCAAGUCCUCAUGGCCCUUAUAGGUGGGGCUACACACGUCAUACAAUGGCUGGUACAAAGGGUUGCCAACCCGCGAGGGGGAGCCAAUCCCAUAAAGCCAGUCGUAGUCCGGAUCGCAGUCUGCAACUCGACUGCGUGAAGUCGGAAUCGCUAGUAAUCGUGGAUCAGCAUGUCACGGUGAAUACGUUCCCGGGUCUU